GCGGGGAUGCCAGAGUGGUCAAAUGGGACACGUUAAGGCCGUGUUAGCUUAGUGCUUUCCUAGGUUCGAAUCCUAGUUCCCGCA
rnacentral:tRNA from 1 species